rnacentral:rRNA from 1 species
UACGUAGGGGGCAAGCGUUGUCCGGAUUUAUUGGGCGUAAAGAGCGUGUAGGCGGUCCGGUAAGUCCGCUGUGAAAGUCGGGGGCUCAACCCUCGAAUGCCGGUGGAUACUGUCGGGCUAGAGUGCGGAAGAGGCGAGUGGAAUUCCUGGUGUAGCGGGUGAAAUGCGCAGAUAUCAGGAGGAACACCUAUUGCGAAGGCAGCUCGCUGGGACGUAACUGACGCUGAGACGCGAAAGCGUGGGGAGCAAACAGG